rnacentral:rRNA from 1 species
AUGACCCCGGCGGAGACCCUGAUCACUGUCGCCAUCGCUGUCUCGACAUGCCGGACCCCGUCACCGGACCGCCGCCGUCCUCCUCAACCUCCUCCUCACGGCCCCGUCUUCCUCUCCGUUCCCGGAUCUGGAAGGGCACCCGACGGCGCCACCCGCCGCCCCGACGUCACAAACGCAACUCCGGCCCGUCCACGAGCAUGCUUUAGCACCUCUACAGAGCCCUACCCCGAGACUGCCGCUGAUGCCGCUGUGUUCAACUACGUCGACGACGACCCCUUUUUCUUGUCUAAGCAACCAGAUGACGGAUCCCAGGAGCCAGACGACGCCACUGAUGACUACUACUACCCGGAGGAUGCCUAA